rnacentral:rRNA from 1 species
UACCUGUCCAAAACAGAACAACCCGCGAACGAACGAUCAUCACACUCGGUUGGCCGGUUUCAUUAAUUGAACCCGUGCUUACCGAUUCCGUGGUUUCGCGUAUUGCCUUCAUCAAGAUUAAUAGUCUUGAUCAGGCCAUGCGUGUUCCUUCCGGAUAUCACAAAACCCCGGCACGAAAAGUGUCAAGGAACAUGCAACAAAACAGCUGCCUUCGCCGCCCCGGAAACGGUGUGCGUGCGUAAGUUGCGCUGCAAUAUGAAGUCUAUAACGACUCUCGGCAACGGAUAUCUCGGCUCUCGCAUCGAUGAAGAACGUAGCGAAAUGCGAUACUUGGUGUGAAUUGCAGAAUCCCGUGAACCAUCGAGUCUUUGAACGCAAGUUGCGCCCCAAGCCUUUAGGCCGAGGGCACGUCUGCCUGGGUGUCACAAAUCGUCGUCCCCAUCCUUUGCGGAGAAGGGACGGAAGUUGGUCUCCCGUGUGUUACCGCACGCGGUUGACCUAAAUCUGAGCUGAGGACGUCUUGGAGCGUCUCGACAUGCGGUGGUGAAUUAAAGCCUCGUCAUUUCGUCGGUUGCUCCAGUCCGAAUGCUCUCGAUGACCCUAUGUCCUUCACGCGACC